CAGUGUCCACUUCUGGUGAGCAGUCCACAUCGACUCCAGCAGAAGAACAGACAAGCCUGCUCCUGCUAGUACAAAGCUAUGCAGCAAGACAUUUGAAUUUGACUCCCCACAAUUUCUCUCUGCAUUCAAGCUUGUGGAUGUAUGUAUGCACAUUCAGCACCUUUACAUGAAAAAAAGGACAAUAAAUAACACUAUCAAUGAAAUAAAUAACCAAUCAAAUUUU